rnacentral:rRNA from 1 species
UACGGGGGGGGCGAGCGUUAUUCGGAAUUAUUGGGCGUAAAGGGCGUGUAGGCGGCCUAGCAUGUCCUCUGUGAAAGCCCUCGGCUCAACCGAGGAACUGCAGGGGAAACUGCAAGGCUCGAGUCCGGGAGAGGAGAGCGGAAUUCCCAGUGUAGCGGUGAAAUGCGUAGAUAUUGGGAGGAACACCAGUGGCGAAGGCGGCUCUCUGGACCGGUACUGACGCUAAAGCGCGAAAGCUAGGGGAGCAAACGGGG